CCUACGGGUGGCUGCAGUAAGGAAUAUUGGUCAAUGGACGGAAGUCUGAACCAGCCAUCCCGCGUGCAGGAAGAAGGUCCUAUGGAUUGUAAACUGCUUUUAGCAGAGACGAAACGCCUUCAUUUAUGGGGGUUUGACGGUAUCUGCGGAAUAAGCACCGGCUAACUCCGUGCCAGCAGCCGCGGUAAUACGGAGGGUGCAGGCGUUAUCCGGAAUCACUGGGUUGAAAGGGGGGGAUUAAGUGGGAGGUGAAAGCCUGUAGCUUAACGACAGAAUUGCCAUUGAUACUUAUGUUCUUGAAUUGGGUUGAGGUUAGCGGAAUGUGACAUGUAACGGUGAAAUGUUUAGAUAUGUCAUGGAACACCGAUUGCGAAGGCAGCUAGCUGGGCCUUGAUUGACGCUGAGGCACGAAAGCGUGGGUAGCGAACAGGAUUAGAUACCCCGGUAGUC
rnacentral:rRNA from 1 species